GUCACAUAAAUGUUGCUUGAUGUAUAGAACUAGUUACCUGUUUCAUUUACAGUCUUAACAUGUACACAUAGAAGGAAGGAUGAAAAUCAGAGUGAUUUGGCAUCUUCCCUACCAUCAUAUCAACCACAAAAUAGCUUAUCACAAGACAGAUCUCUCCCAUCUGCUAGCCAAUCACAGAACCUGUCUCUGCAGACACAAUCUAGCCAAUCACAGAACUCGUCUCUCCCACUGAUGGACACCUCCCAUACAGACAAGGCCAAGCUACUUGGUUCACUUACAGACAUGACUGCACUGACAGAGCCGGGACAAAAGCUGCUGGACUUGAAAUUUUGUGACAGACUGUUAAAUCAGAUUGUCGAUUUCUACACACACAAGUAGACAUCUCGUCUUUAAUUAACAGGCUCUGGUGGCCUGUGUCGAGGCCAGGGAUAACCUACAGAUCGUCACAGAAUUGGAGACAAAGUUUGGACUAAAACUUAAAAGGUCUAUUUCUUCAGCUUAAACACACCGCACACCAGGCACUAAAUAGAUGUGAUUUAAUUUCAAUGCAACAUAUUGAGACAAUGUUUAGAUAUUGGUUGUUAAGAUUGUAUUCAUUUAUUUAUUUAUUUUUUUUUUUUUUUUUUUUAUUGAAGUAUGUGUGAAUCAUAAAGAUAUCAAAUUUGUGGGAUGAAUGAAAUAGCUACAUUAUGAUAUACUGAUAGACUGACUGUCAUAAUACUAAAAUAUUAAUUUGAAGAAAUAGUAUCCUUGUGCAUAAAUAUUCAUGUGACACCGACCUAUGACUUUUACAUCAUUUUAACAAACAAUGAAAUAUACAAAAAUAUUACUUACUUCAGCUAUACAUGUAUAUAUUAUGAGAACAAGAAAAAUGGCAUAUUUAUUGAGUUUUCCAGCUAAAAAUAAUGAUUCCUUGACAAAAUUGUUUACAAUCUGUAGAAUUCCAUCAAUGAAUCCAGAGCACAAGGUCACUACUCAUUGGCAUUAGUGAUAUACUGAAAACGGACAUAUUUUAGUUGUUAUCUUAUUUCAGCGCGUUUUACACUGGAAUCAUAAUGCUAAAUUAUGAUUGCCCUAAAUGCACUUUCUUUAUACUGUUUCUGUAUACAUUGAUCUUAUCGCAGCAAUUUACAAGUGCGCUAAACUGUUAAAAUUCAGAAAUACACUAAAAUUUGAGUACGCCAAAUGAAGUAUGUUAACAGUAUUUUAAGUUGAAGGGUUGGUAGCAUUUUUGUGAUAGUAUUGUUUUCUAUUUAAAUGAGUUACCUUGACAAAAUUCAAAGGUUCCAUCAGAAAUUAAAAAUAAAAUAAAUUAUUAUGGAAAUGAAGAGUAGUUCCACAUUUCAGAUACCCCAUGGCCAUAAUGUCAAAGUUAGAAAAAACACAUGAAUACCACUGGAGUGUAUACGUAUUAUUAACCAAUUUUGGACAUCUAGUUUAAAAAUGCCAACUUUUUUUUAGUUUUUGGGAAUAUGAUUGAUUUCACUAUGUUUUGCCAUAUAUACAUGUAUAUGCAUGUAUUACCUAUAAAAUUACUGACAUCAAACAAAUUUCAAAGCAUGUUUGAAAUAGCAAAAAUUCGAGCCCAUUGGAAAUAUUUGGUUAUUGUCAGUAUAUUAUUUUAUUACAAUUAAAUUAUUUUUUAACAAAAACAGAAGGUCCAAAAUUGGAGAACCUUGUCCGACUGCAGAGGGAAUUAAAAGAAAAAACUUAAUAAAACAUUCAGUGCCAACCCGAGAACAUUUUUUAUGGAUUUCUUGAAAUGUUUGUUAUGCAGUUGUUUGCUAUAGUUAAACAAUUAUUUUCAAAUAUAAUAAACUACUGUUAAUGAU